CCUACGGGCGGCUGCAGUGGGGAAUAUUGCACAAUGGGCGCAAGCCUGAUGCAGCCAUGCCGCGUGUGUGAAGAAGGCCUUCGGGUUGUAAAGCACUUUCAGCGGGGAGGAAGGCGGUGAGGUUAAUAACCUCAUCGAUUGACGUUACCCGCAGAAGAAGCACCGGCUAACUCCGUGCCAGCAGCCGCGGUAAUACGGAGGGUGCAAGCGUUAAUCGGAAUUACUGGGCGUAAAGCGCACGCAGGCGGUCUGUCAAGUCGGAUGUGAAAUCCCCGGGCUCAACCUGGGAACUGCAUUCGAAACUGGCAGGCUAGAGUCUUGUAGAGGGGGGUAGAAUUCCAGGUGUAGCGGCGAAAUGCGUAGAGAUCUGGAGGAAUACCGGUGGCGAAGGCGGCCCCCUGGACAAAGACUGACGCUCAGGUGCGAAAGCGUGGGGAGCAAACAGGAUUAGAUACCCUAGUAGUC
rnacentral:rRNA from 1 species